rnacentral:rRNA from 1 species
AUUGAACGCUGGCGGCAUGCUUUACACAUGCAAGUCGAACGGUAACAGCACUUCGGUGGCUGACGAGUGGCGAACGGGUGAGUAAUACAUCGGAACGUGCCUAGUAGUGGGGGAUAACUACUCGAAAGAGUGGCUAAUACCGCAUGAGAUCUAAGGAUGAAAGCAGGGGACCUUCGGGCCUUGCGCUACUAGAGCGGCUGAUGGCAGAUUAGGUAGUUGGUGGGAUAAAAGCUUACCAAGCCGACGAUCUGUAGCUGGUCUGAGAGGACGACCAGCCACACUGGGACUGAGACACGGCCCAGACUCCUACGGGAGGCAGCAGUGGGGAAUUUUGGACAAUGGGCGCAAGCCUGAUCCAGCAAUGCCGCGUGCAGGAUGAAGGCCUUCGGGUUGUAAACUGCUUUUGUACGGAACGAAAAGCCCUCUUCUAAUACAGGAGGGUCAUGACGGUACCGUAAGAAUAAGCACCGGCUAACUACGUG